UAUUUAUUAAAAAAUGAUAUAAUAUAUUAUAUAGUAAAGAAGAAACCUGUCGAGAGCACAGACUAAUGCCUUCGUGGACAGUAAAUACUCUAAAUUCGUAUCUGGGAUUUUCGAAUCGAAGAGCUUUGCACUUGACAAGGAGACUGGCAAGAAAUGCGUCACACUACCGGCCCGGAAGCUCAAUAUUGCUUGGAAAAAUGGUCCACAACACUGGCAAUGGAUAACUUUACCUGAAUCAAGAUUUUGGAAGGUGGCACGAGUCCAGGGUGUUUGUUGGCUUGAAAUUUGGGGCAACAUAAAGACUGGAAUUGUAACAACCCACAUUUAUGUCUUAGUCAUGUUCAUGAACAUUUGUAUGAUUACGACUCGUUAAGCUUGCAUUUGUAUGUUUGUGACUUGUUUUGCCUAAGUAAGAUUCAUGCCUUGU